GCUGCUUUGCUUCCCUGCUCCUCUCUCUCUCUCUCUCUGGCGAUUCCAGAUCUAAAUCUAGGGUUUGUCUCCAAGGCGAUUUAAGAUCUAGCCUUUCUCAUUGACACUAGAUCGAGGAUCUUCAAGGUGGGUUUAUGGCAUCUUCAAGGUGAGUUUUGCCAUCACCAAUCUCCAAAGAAUCAAGCAAUCUGACCCAGGGUUCCAACUAAUGACGAAGGUCGACAAAUUAGAGUUUUGACUACCGAUCUACUUCUACAUGUAUGCUCUGCAGACUAUCAAGGGUUUUGAGGUUACAUGAUUAACAGAGGUGAAGAUGGAGUCACGAGUUAACAGAGGUGAAGAUGGAGUCGCAGGGGUUCUUCUACAUCACAGGACUUUCACACCUUUUGUUGGGCAUAAUUAGCCUUAUGGUCGAGUUUACUAUGAAGGAUUUUAAGAUUCCACGGAACCUGCAUUAAAGUUAGACUUCAUGCGACUUUUGAGCUGUUUGGUCCAUUCAACCAGUUUGAUUGGUUUACUCUUACCCAAAUUCAAAAUCAAGAUAGAACAUAACCCAAACUGACCCACUUGUAAAUAAGUAUGUUAAAGUUUUUUGUUAACCCAUUAGUUUUGCUAAAAACUUUAUUACUUUUUCAUGUUGAUUUGUUGUUUACAGCAAUGGCAACCGGACUGGAAUCAAAACUUCGUUAUGCAUCAGUUCAUAUUCUGUCUGAUACCAUGGAAGCUGCAAGAAAACCGUCUGUUGCUGCUAUUGUUGGGGUUGCUUUAGGUGGCGGAUUAGAGGCUGCAAUGGUACUGCCGUUGUUAAGAGAGAAGCAUGACGAGUUCAUGUUGAGGGAGCUUGUGAAACGAUGGUCAAAUCAUAAAAUAAUGGUUAGGUGGCUUUAACGUUUUUUCCAUUAUCUUGAUCGCUAUUUUAUUAAUCGAAGGUCCCUACCUGCAUGAAGUUGGUCUAACCUGUUUUCGUGAAUGGGUUAGUAUUUACUUCAGUUACUUAAGCACACAGUUCUUUACAGGUGUUGGUUUUUUUUUUUUGUUGCUGAUGAUUUUUCAUAUAAGUUUAUGAGGAGACAAAACAUCAGAAGCUCACGUUUUCCAGGAUGCACUUGGCACAUCGUUGGAAGUAAUAUGCAAAGUAGUCCCUGGUGGAUGCUUAGACCCGAAUGAGAGUAUUGUUACUAUUUUCAUGUGAUUUUGGUCUAUCAUUAUGACAUGUCAGAGAAGGGUUGAUGUCUUAUAAGCAAUUUAUUCAGGAGCUUGAAGAUGAUGUUCUGCCAUCAGAAGCUGAACAAAGGUAUCAAGAAUACAAGUCAGAGUAUAUAUCAACUCAGAAAUGGGCUUAUUUUGAUGCUCAUAAAGGCGAAGACUGGUUGAAAGAUAAAUAUCACCCUACAAAUCUGCUCGUGGUUAUUGAAAGGUACCAUGUCUCUCUUUUUGCCACUUGGAAACAAAGGGGAAUGCAUUUCUCAGUUGCUUCUGGUUCUUAGCAAAAUGAAUUUGGUUUUCAGUUAUGUGCCUGAAUUUUAUUUAGAAACUCUGGUUGAUUGUUUUCAUGUUUUGCGAAAGAGUGAUCCUCCUUUUGUUUAUAAAACAAGGACUUGGUUCAUUUGUUACUUUUGUGGUUACCCAUUUCAGCGACCCGAGAAUAUCAAGCACAGAACUAAGAGAUCUACUUCUGCAAUCAAUUUCUGUAUUAGUUCAGUACAAAGAGUUUUUGGCUGCUUUUGAGAGCAACCGAGCAGCAACUCGUAGCCUCCCAACAUCACUUUUAUCAGUCUUUGAUAACCGAUCAUGGAUUCCUGUAACGAUUUGAGUUGUGGCUGCAAGUUUUGUAUCGGGUUACAAGUUGUCGGAUUCGGCUCAAGAAGGUGGCGACCCAUGUUUGCCGGUUGCAUGGUCAUGGUUGGAGUGUAAUUCAGAUCGUGAACCGAAGAUUAUAUCGGUCCGGUUGGUGCAAUCACUCCAUGUAAUUUCUCCAUCGCAAUGAUUGCUCGCAAGGUUGGCCCUGCUCUUGCCUGUGGCUGUACUGUGGUCAUAAAGCCCUCUGAGCUCACACCAUUGACCGCCUUAGCAGCAGCUGAGCUGGCCCUUCAAUCUGGAAUUCCGCCUGGUGUCUUGAAUGUGGUCAUGGGAUAUCCUCCUAGCAUUGGUGAUUCUCUACUAUAGAGCACACAGGUUUGUUUUUAUUAGAUAGUUUACAUUAGUUACGGUUUAUUGUAAUUCGUUUUAAAGAUAUUUUAACAAAUGAAACAAUCAUCUGUUUGUUUAUCUCCACAAGCGAUGCUAUUUUUUAUGUCUAA